rnacentral:snoRNA from 1 species
UAUGCAUGUGAUGUGAAGAUAGACAGGGACAUCAGAAAUCCCUUGUGGAAUGUGAUGAUUUGUCUUGGGAAUCUCUCUGAUGCAUA